GACUCCACCACUCUCUGGCAAGUCGUGACAACGGACACCACUCCACUCUCCGUAACAAACUCCACGUGGCCCUGAACGACCCCUGAUGCCACUACUCUCCGUAACAAACUCUGUACGGCUCUGAACAGUCCACUACCAGGUGGUUACAGAUAUCACUGUCAAUCAGUUACGCUCUCCGUCUAUAAAAAGGGAUCCCCAGAU
rnacentral:lncRNA from 1 species